GUGAGGGGGUUGCAGCCAGGAGGAGCCUUCCAUGCCUGGAGACAUGAGCACUGUCCUGCAGCCCUACUGAGGAUGCUGAAGUGACCUUUUCUCUUCUACGUGAAAAACAGCAUCCACCAAAACCACCUAAAUGCAGAGAAAUUAAGGGCUGCAGUGACAGCCACCAUGUGCUCUGGAGGGACGUGGCAGAGGUGGACAAGCAUACCAAUAUUUGGAAGCACCACAGAUGGAGUCAGCCAGGAGAGAUCAAGUGCUCCAUAAAAGUGACGUGUGGGUGGACACACUGUCUGUAUUUCAAAGUAGCUCUGGCCAGAAGUGAUGCGAAGGGGAAAGAAGAGGUAAAGAGGAAUGUGUGCUUUAUGAUGCAGGAGUAAUUCUGGCUUCUAGCACUGGAGGACCUACUGCAAGACUAAUUAAAGGCCUCGUUUAUGGUUUCAAGGAGGCCAUUAUAACACUCAAAGCUCCCUGAAAUAUCAGUGUUGUAGGCAUGCCCCGCUCUUCUUUAAUAACCUUUAACUUCUUUAAUAACCUUUAAGAUCAUCUAGUUCCAACCUCCUACUAUAGGCAGAGAUACCUCCCUCUAGACCAGGUAGCUCAAAGCCCCAUCCUGCUGGUCAUGGCCUAGCUUGGCCUCCUGGCUAAGCAGAAGCCAACAGCUCCUGCCAAAGCAAGCUUCUGGGCUGCUAGACGGACAAAUAACAUGUUCUGGGAGGAAGCUAUGCACGUGCUUCAGGGAGUUAGAUAUGUACAGCAUGUGUUUUAGUAUUUUUAACCCACAUGUUAGGUCAGAACACGUUUGGUUACAU
rnacentral:lncRNA from 7 species